GGCAAGCUGAAACGCCAGUGAAAGAAAGCCUCCCUCAGCAUCCUAUUACCUUAGUGCGUCGUAAAUAGAAACUAGUGAGCAGACAGAGAAAUGGCGACUGAAGGAGGUACUCCAGGUGGUUUGGCCCCAGCAGAACCCCAAACAGGACCAGAUGGAGAAAUUAUCGGAGGACCACGUACUCCACAGCAGAUCGCUGCUCAGCGAAGAUUGCAACAGACUCAGGCGCAAGUCGAUGAAGUCGUGGAUAUUAUGAAAACAAAUGUCGAGAAAGUUCUAGACAGAGACGCAAAGUUGUCAGAAUUAGACGAUAGAGCAGAUGCACUUCAACAGGGUGCUUCACAGUUCGAGCAACAGGCAAAAAGCUUGAAAAAUAAAUUUUGGUUGCAAAAUUUAAAGAUGAUGAUUAUAAUGGGCGUGAUUGGGAUCGUUAUCAUUGGCCUGUUAUUCGGUGAUAACAUUAAACAAAUGUUUGGUUAGUUCGAUACCGUGGCACACCGACUAUGACCGGCAUCAGUCCAGGCGUAGCCGGCAAUGUUACCGCAGCUGUUACUAAUAAUUGAAAAUACAUGUAAUCCUAAUUCGCAAGAUCUAAACUUCGUGGAAGAUGUGUUAACAAUAAUUUUUGUAAGCAUUUAAAUUAGAAAUUUAGCGUAGAAAUGGUCACAUGAAAGGGCAGUUGCGUAAAAUACAAACUUUAUUGUUUGUUUUACUUGAAAGUAAAAUAAUCUUAUAGAAAAUAAAUUAAGAUUACGAACUCUAAUUACAACGUUCAAUGAAAUAGUUAAACUAUUAAAAAAUAUUUAAAUAUAUUAUUCAAUAAGAUUUCAUAUGAAAGUCUUUGAAUAUAGGUAACGUUUACUAUACGUAUGUUCAAUUUCAAGAUUACUAAUAUUGUGAAAAUUGUAUAAAAUUUAAUA